UACGUAGGGUGCGAGCGUUGUCCGGAAUUAUUGGGCGUAAAGGGCUCGUAGGCGGUUUGUCGCGUCGGGAGUGAAAACCUCGGGCUUAACUCGGGGCUUGCUUUCGAUACGGGCAGACUAGAGGUAUGCAGGGGAGAACGGAAUUCCUGGUGUAGCGGUGGAAAUGCGUAGAUAUCAGGAGGAACACCGGUGGCGAAGGCGGGUCUCUGGGCCGUAACUGACGCUGGAGGAGCGAAAGCAUGGGGGAGCAAACGG
rnacentral:rRNA from 1 species